rnacentral:rRNA from 1 species
CAGUCGCCACGGUAAUACGUAGGUCCCGAGCGUUGUCCGGAUUUAUUGGGCGUAAAGCGAGCGCAGGCGGUUUGAUAAGUCUGAAGUUAAAGGCUGUGGCUCAACCAUAUUUCGCUUUGGAAACUGUCAAACUUGAGUGCAGAAGGGGAGAGUGGAAUUCCAUGUGUAGCGGUGAAAUGCGUAGAUAUAUGGAGGAACACCGGUGGCGAAAGCGGCUCUCUGGUCUGUAACUGACGCUGAGGCACGAAAGCGUGGGGAGCAAACAGGAUUAGAUACCCCGGUAGUCCCUGUCUCUUAUACA